UACAUCCACUAACUCUGCAAUCAAGAAAAGAAGAUGGGGGAAGUGUCCAUCCCUUUGAAACGGAGUUUCAUUGGCGUGACAACUGUGAUUGUGAUCCUCGAUGUCAUACUGGUGGGACUUCUGAUUGCUAAUGGACACCUCUCUUAUGCUACAAAGAUUGAACUCAUGCAUAUUCCGUUUUACUUGACCAUGACAAAUCUGGUUUUGAUCAUCGUUGGUGUGUUUGGUGUCUACAAAAAGAAGAAGUGGGCUCUCGUAGUGGUGGGUCAUUUUAAGUUAGUGACUACAGGAAAUGCCUUUCACAGAAUUUGGUUGCUCAUAUCUUUUUGUGUCUCAGUUUACAGUUGGA